GCUGGGCGCAGUGGUGUUUCUGUAGUCCCAGCAACUCAGGAGGCUGAGGUGGGAGGAUCACUUGAGCCCAGGAGUUCUGGGCUGUAGUGCGCUAUGCUGAUCAGAUGUCCACACUAAGUUCAGCACCAAUAUGAUGACCUCCUGGGAGCAGGGGACCACCAGGUUGCCUAAGGAGGGGUGAACUGGCCCAGGUUGGAAACAGAGCAGGUCAAAACUCCCAUGCUGAGGUCGGGCCUGGUGGCUCACGCUUGUAAUCCAAGCACUUUGGAGGCCAAGAUGGGUGGAUCACCUGAGGUUGGGAGUUCAAGACCAGCCUAACCAACAUGGUGAAACCCCAUCUUAA
rfam:Callithrix jacchus chromosome 12, whole genome shotgun sequence